UACGGAGGGGGCUAGCGUUGCUCGGAAUCACUGGGCGUAAAGGGUGCGUAGGCGGGUCUUUAAGUCAGGGGUGAAAUCCUGGAGCUCAACUCCAGAACUGCCUUUGAUACUGAAGAUCUUGAGUUCGGGAGAGGUGAGUGGAACUGCGAGUGUAGAGGUGAAAUUCGUAGAUAUUCGCAAGAACACCAGUGGCGAAGGCGGCUCACUGGCCCGAUACUGACGCUGAGGAGCGAAAGCCAGGGGAGCAAACGGG
rnacentral:rRNA from 1 species